rnacentral:rRNA from 1 species
AUUGAACGCUGGCGGCAGGCCUAACACAUGCAAGUCGAACGAGUGGCGGACGGGUGAGUAAUGUCUGGGAAACUGCCCGAUGGAGGGGGAUAACUACUGGAAACGGUAGCUAAUACCGCAUACCAUAGGAUGAGCCCAAGUGGGAUUAGGUAGUUGGUGGGGUAAAGGCUCACCAAGCCGACGACCUCUAGCUGGUCUGAGAGGAUGACCAGCAAAACUGGAACUGAGACACGGCCCAGACUCCGACGGGAGGCAGCAGUGGGGAAUAUUGCGCAAGGGGGGCAACCCGGACGCAGCCAUGCCGCGUGAAUGAAGAAGGCCUUCGGGUUGUAAAGUUCUUUCGGUAGCGAGGCGUUAACUACAGAAGAAGCACCGGCUAACUCCGUGCCAGCCGCCGCGGUAAUUC